rnacentral:snRNA from 1 species
GUCCUCAUUUGGGUAGCACAUACACUAAAAUUAGAAUAAUAAAGGGCCGAUUAGCAUGGCUCUGUUGAAGAAGAAAUGAAAUCUCAUGAAGCAUUUCAUAUUUUA